ACGAUUGACGGAGCGAAGCGACGUCAAAGCGUUCAUUAAAGUCGAGUUGGCUUAGGGAUACGUUCGUUGGGUAGGGGAGCGUUCUGUAAGCCUGUGAAGGUGGCCUGUGAGGGUUGCUGGAGGUAUCAGAAGUGCGAAUGCUGACAUAAGUAACGAUAAAGCGGGUGAAAAGCCCGCUCGCCGGAAGACCAAGGGUUCCUGUCCAACGUUAAUCGGGGCAGGGUGAGUCGACCCCUAAGGCGAGGCCGAAAGGCGUAGUCGAUGGGAAACGGGUUAAUAUUCCCGUACUUGGUGUUACUGCGAAGGGGGGACGGAGAAGGCUAUGUUGGCCGGGCGACGGUUGUCCCGGUUUAAGCGUGUAGGUGUGUGUUCCAGGUAAAUCCGGUUCACUUUAACACUGAGGCGUGACGACGAGGCACUACGGUGCUGAAGCAACAAAUGCCCUGCUUCCAGGAAAAGCCUCUAAGCAUCAGGUAACAUCAAAUCGUACCCCAAACCGACACAGGUGGUCAGGUAGAGAAUACCAAGGCGCUUGAGAGAACUCGGGUGAAGGAACUAGGCAAAAUGGUGCCGUAA
rnacentral:rRNA from 1 species